rnacentral:misc_RNA from 1 species
AUUAGAGGAAAUUCGGCAUUAAGGUAGUGGGUGUUGAUGCCGGUGGCCUUUGUUGUUGGAAUAUUGAUUUGUCCUUGUGACAGGUUAAACUUAAAGCAAACAAUAUAUUGAACAGAAAAAAAUCAUACAAGAUGUCGACGUUUGAUCCUAAAGAGCACCCCCACAUAAGAUAUAACCCUCUGAUGGAGGAAUGGGUGACAGUGUCUCCUCACAGAAUGAAGAGGCCCUGGAAGGGGCAGGUGGAGAAAUCGGAGGAAGAAGAGAUCCCAAGUUAUGAUCCCAACAACUCGCUGUGCCCCGGAAACACUCGGUCCAGCGGAAAAGUAGUGUAACUAUUGACCUAAGGGUUCAAACCCCCUAUACUUGUUGUACACAAGCAUACAUUCAAAAUUGUAUCUUAAUUACUGCCUGAAAAUAGCAAAACAUGUUUUAAAAAAUUUUAUUAAGAAUUUAGACAGUGCACAUGUUCCUACGUGAUGUAUCUCAUUGUAGAAGGAGUGUUCUUAUUUUCAUCAAUUUUGGUUUUGGUAUUUAAGCUGUUUAGAUACUGAGCUAUUUUAGGUUGUCUAUAUUUGAACUUCUCUCAUCUUUGCAAUCUUUUUCAGGUCAAUCCCCAGUAUGAGGGAACGUUUCUGUUCGACAAUGAUUUUCCAGCUCUUCUAAAGGAUGGACCUGCCCCUUCUGCGAACCCUGACCCGCUGUUUCAGUCCGCCCCGGCUUACGGGGCCUGCCAAGUCAUGUGCUUCCAUCCGCGAUCUGACCUCACCCUCCCACUGAUGUCCCAGUCCGAAGUCAGGGAGGUAAUCGACAAGUGGGCCGAAAUCAACACAGACCUCGGAAAGAAGUAUACGUGGGUUCAGAUCUUUGAAAAUAAAGGAAAUGUUAUGGGCUGCUCCAACCCUCAUCCACAUUGCCAGGUGUGGGCCAGCUCCUAUUUCCCCAAUGAUCCUGCAAAGAAACACCGAACACAGAGAGAGUACUACGACAAACACAAGGUGCCCCUCCUGGUGGACUAUGUGAAGAAAGAGCUCCAAAAACAGGUGCCCCCUCCCCAUUGUUUUGUAUUUAACUGCAUUGUUUGAUUGAUAAACAUUGUAUAAAACAGGAGAACACAUAUUCCUGUUGAUCGACUAGAACAUUGUGGGAUUUGAGAUAUGAUCAUGAUCUCCCAUCAUUCCAUUACGAACAGGAGAGGGUUGUCCUACAGAACGAGCACUGGGUGUGGCUGGUCCCAUACUGGGCCAUUUGGCCCUACGAGACGAUGCUGCUCCCAAAACGACACGUCCUACGCAUCGAGGAUCUCACGUCAGCCGAGAGAGAUGCCCUAGCAGACAUAAUGAAAAAACUCCUCACAAAAUAUGACAAUAUGUUUGAAGUCUCGUUUCCAUAUUCCAUGGGUUGGCAUGGAGCCCCUACAGGGGAUUACCUCCAACAAGACAACAGCCACUGGCAGCUCCAUGCUUUGUACUUCCCCCCUCUGCUGAGGUCAGCUACAGUAAAGAAAUUCAUGGUGGGGUAUGAGAUGCUGGCUCAAUCUCAGCGGGACCUAACAGCAGAACAGGUAUAAGAUGCUUGGUUGAUCUCAUUGAGACUUAUUUACAGAACAAAUAGAGAAAAUGAUCAUGGCUCAAUCUCAGUGAGAUUUAAUAGCAGAACAAGUAUGAGAUGCUGGCUGAAUCUCAGUGAGAUUUAACGGUAGAACAGUAAUAAGAUGCUUGGUCAACCUCAGCGAGACUUAUUUGCAGAAGAAAGACUAAAUAUUACCAGGAUUAACAACAGAACAGGUUUGCAAUUAUAGCAUUAUAUCAACAUGGCAGUUCAAUCUCAUAGACUUAUUUGCAAAACAAAUGUAUAAAAUGAUGUGUUAGUCUCAGUGAGACUACAGAUCAGGUAUGAGAUGCUUGUCAAUCUCAGUGAGAUUUAACAGCAGAACAGAUGAACAGGUAUGAGAUGCUUUGUCAAUCUCAGUGAGACUAACACCAGAACAGGUAUGAGAUGCUUUGUCAAUCUCCUUGAGAUUCAACAGCAGAACAGGUAUGAAAUUCUUGGUCCAUAUCAGUAAGACUGUCGUCUGCUUAAUUUUCCAUAACUAGUAAGGAAAUUUAAUAAAAUCUUUGCAGGAUUUAACAUAAUUUGAAUUUUUUUUCAGGCUGCAGAGAAACUGAAGAGUUUACCCGACGUCCAUUAUAAAUCCCAGAAUUCCUAGCGGUCCAUCAGGAUGAGUGCUCAGUUGUGCCAAAUCGUAAAGUCAUGUUCAGCUGACGUUUUAAGUUUGAAGUCAUGUAAAAUACUGUAGAUUUCUUAUUAUACCCGAGUACUUAAGUCAACGAUUCCCCAUUUUGCAUCAAAUUGCGUGAAUAAAAUAUCGCAAAUUUGGAAUUUUUAUACUAAUUUUUUAUAGUUUUAAGCUCUCAGAAAAUAAAAGCGAGAUUUUAAAAUCCGCGAGGGGUGCUUCUCGCGAUUUUACGCAGAUAUUAAUUCCUCCUGAUUAAUUAAGAAUUUACAGUAUCUAAAUUUCUAAAUUAAUUUUUAAUAAAAAGGAAGAGUUGUACAUGUAAUAGCAAAUAUUUAAUAUUUCCUAGAUUUUCACUUUGAAGACUAGUCAGGUGUGGAAAUAGUCUGUGGCUUCUGAUUGUUAAUUCCUCCCUCACCCUGAACUACCUCUCUGAUUUAUAUAAUGGUUGACAAUUCAUUCAUGACAGGAGUGGAGUUUAAUGAUAGAAAGAUUACAUUAUGUUUUGUCAGUUUUAUUGUUAGAUCAUUACAAAAUGUUAAAUAAAUCUAUGUUUACAGUAUAAAAGCUAACAAUAAACAAAAUAUAUAAAGAUGCC